CCCUUAGAUGUCCUGGGCCGCACGCGCGUUACACUGAUGCAUUCAACGAGCUUAUAACCUUGGCCGAGAGGCCUGGGCAAUCUUGUUAACGUGCAUCGUGAUAGGGAUAGAUUAUUGAAAUUAUUAAUCUUGAACGAGGAAUUCCUAGUAAACGCAGAUCAUCAAUCUGCAUUGAUUACGUCCCUGCCCUUUGUACACACCGCCCGUCGCACCUACCGAUUGGAUGGUCCGGUGAAGCCUCGGGAUUGUGGUUCUUGCCGCUUUAUUGUGGCGUGACCGCGAGAACUUGUCUAAACCUUAUCAUCUAGAGGAAGGUGAGUCGUAAC
rnacentral:rRNA from 1 species